GUGAGCUUAUCCUUUCUCGACCUAUCCGACUAACACAACUAUAGAUUUGGACCACAUUUGUUGUAUGAGUAACAUGAACAUGACCUAUUCAAGUGACUUGAUCUUAGCUUUGAUGUGAAAGAAAGUUUUUCAGCAUAUACCGGAGGGACUAGUACCAGAGAAGGUCCCAACCAAUACAAGAAAGUUGAUCCACUAUUUUUUGGUAGGUGGUAAGUUAUAAUUUUAGUCACUUCCAUUCUUGUUUUGGUAUGAGUAAGAAAUUAAUCUCUUUUGGAUACGUGAUUACCUCUUUCAACAAGUGUCGCUCUCUGUAAUCGAUAUAUAGAUGAGUUAUAAGAGGCAUAUAUUGAAAUUAAUUAUGCCAAACACCAUAAUAUAUUUAUAUUUAUAUUUAUUUUGAAUCAUAUAACUAAUGUAAGUUAUACUUCUCUAACACCAUAAUAUACGUUCAAGUUUUUAUGUUAUCUCAAUAUAUCUGAUUACUUGGUUUGUCUUGAACUUUAUUAGAUUAUGAUCCAAAUGACCAUAUCAAAAUAGUGGGUUGAUCCGAAUAAACUAAACUUAUCCCAUACACACCCUAAUGAAAAACUACCUUUUAUUAAAGGUGUCCUCUAAUUGAAAGCUAAAGACUAAUUCAUAGUGUACCAAAAAUAGGUAAAAUAUUUUAAAAACAUUUUUAUACAGUGACGCGUACGUUGGUCUGUGUCAACUCGUAUCGCCCCACAAAAUGGGUUUGGAAUCUCCAUGAAGAGUUCACCAAUAAAAUGUGAAAUUCAUGAUGGAUUUGAUGAUAUUUUUUAAAAUAUUUAAAAAUAAUUUAAAAUUUAUAUCGUUAAUUAUUUGAAGUAUAUAUAUUAUUAUUAUUUCAUUUAGUACUGGACCAUAAAGUACCGAGAUUCUACAACAAAAGUGUAUAAAGAGUUGUUGAUAUAGUCUCCUGCCUUAUCACCAUACCACUAUCCCCAAUGAACAAUUUAACAAAAGAAGUAUUAGUGUGAUACAAAAUAGAAUAAAGUUAGGUUAGUUUUAAUCAACCGACGUGGGAACUUGGCUGUAUUACGUGAACCACGAACAAAUAAAUAUUAUUGGAUAACUUUAUGACUAAAUGUCUGCUCCAUAAGCCAUCAUUAACGCUUCACUAAAAAGAUAAAGUUUAUGUGCAUCUUUGUUAUGAAGUAGUUGGGAGGUCACUUUAAGCCACCACUAAGUUGAUCCAAAAGGGAAGGAAAAAAAAGUAUUCAUGUGGAACUGCCACUUAUAUCUUAUCUUUGCAUUCCCGUGGCUUGUGAUGAAUGUAUUGAGUUUGGGCUUCUUUCCUAAGUAGAAAAAAACUCAAUUGGUCAAAACACACUUGUCUCACUUAACCUAGUUGAGAGGGGUAAGAUGAGGCAAGAAUGUGCAAUCAGAUUAUGCAAAAGGAGACAAUAGAAAAGUGAGAGAGGAGAGAAAAUAACUCAACCCACAAGAACUCAUAGCAUCUUUGGGAAAUUCCCGAUUGCGCCUUCACUCACUGUUGGAUUGGCCUGAAAUUUGGACAAUAGGUUCACAAUUUCUGGUAAUUUAUUCUGAAUGGUUUGAUUGAUGAGAAGUAAUCCGAGGUGGAAUAAAACGAUCUAUUAUAAUGGCUAUUUUUCUGGUUUUUUUGCUACUUGUUGAUCUCGUUUUCAAACUUGUUGCUCUACACUAUUGUAUUCAUAUUUUAAUCAUAGUGGAGCUUGAUUGACUGGUUUA